UAUUUUAAAUGUUGGGUAAAGUUUUAUUUUAAGAAAAAUGUCUGUUUUUAAGAUUGCAGAUUCCAUGCAUGGAUACCAGAACAUUUGCCGUUAAAGGACGGUUGAAGUCCUGAUCACCAAUCCCUGCUGUAGAGCUGCUGAAAGUCAUAUUCAAAGCAGAGAGACCCCACCCAGCUGAGUACAUUUGAGAAGAAACGGGAACCAGAUUGACACCAUUAACAUUUCCCUUAGCUGUGCCAGCACUGCCAAUGGCUGACCUCCGCAGUCACGGUCCCAUCUGGGGGGUCCUAAGUAGGCUUGGGAAAAAGCAAUUUUUCUGAAGACUGCACCCCCACGCUGAGUCUCUUCCGCUCCAGCCUUCCGGCGCUCUCCCCAGAUGACCUAACCCUUGACCCCUUCCUUCAACAUGGUCCAGCUUCAACAAUGCUGUAUUUUUCAUGACCUUCUCCCUCCACCUCUGUGUAUCCUGGUAGCUGCUGUUGGAACUUCAUGGAUGGCCAGUAGCUUUUGCGUCUCUGU